CAAUAUUCAUUUAAAAAAUAUCUCAACAUAUCUUUCUACAAAUUAACCAAAGCUUGCAUAAAUAUAAAAUAUACUAACAGUGAGACGAAAAGCUAAGAUAUGAACAUUAAGAAUUGAGAUUGCAAAUAGCAAAGUUGAAAGAUGAAUUGCAACAAAGAGGGCAACUGGGUAGAUAAUACUAAGAGAGGCAAAAUAUUCCAUUAUGCCUUAAUUCCAAAUCAAGUUGAAAUUGGUAUAAUCAUCAUUCAUCAGACGCUAUUUUUCUAACUCAUUCAAGUGAACUACUCAAUUUCGUUAAACAAAGAUUAAAUAUAAGGUGAAGUCCCAAGUCCGCCACUCUAAAGCAUACUCGUCAUCUUUGCUCAAAGCAGACAAAAUGUCUAGUUAAGGUAUAUACAAAUACAAGGAAUGGAUCUAAUGGUGAAUCAUCUGUCUUCACUAGUCUAAAGGACGACUGGACGAAAUUGGAACUCUCACUGACCUGAUUAAAUUACACAUAUGACAAAUGUGGAAUUAAAACAAGCAUAUUUUUAGGAUUUAAUUCAACUACCCAGUAGCUUAAAUCUGUAUCUGUUCUUCAUCUUCUUCUUCUUCUUCUUCUUUCAAUGUUAAAACUUAAGAUUAAGAAAGAGAGAUUGAUUACCUAAUUUUGCUUCUUCAAUCUUCUUCUUCCUCUUUCAAAAUAUUGUGAAUCGGAGUCCAGAGAUUGGAAUAAAGCUGAAGAAAUCGCAUCGUCGUUGCACACACAGGUUCGUUCGCACUUCACAGGGCUUGAGAAUCUGGAGAAGCCGGGAACUGGAAGGGAACAUUUGGGAUUUUUUUAAUGUUACUUGGGUUAAAUUUAUGGGCUACUAUUAAUCUAUAUAUGGAUUUUUUAUCAAUGUUAAAAAUUAAGAAUCCAAUGGG
rnacentral:lncRNA from 1 species